CCUACGGGUGGCAGCAGUGAGGAAUAUUGCACAAUGGCGGAAACCCUGAUGCAGCGACGCCGCGUGAGGGAGGAAGUAUUUCGGUAUGGAAAGCUCUAUCAGCCGGGAAGAAAAUGACGGUACGUGACUAAGAAGCCGCGGCUAAGUACGGGCCAGCAGCCGUGACAAUACGUCGGGGGCAAGCGUUAUCCGGAUUUAGUGGGGGUAAAGGGAGCGUAGGCGGCUAAUCAAGUCAGAAGUGAAAACACAGGGCUCAACCUUGGGACUGCCGUUGAAACUGAGUAGCUAGAGUGCAGGAGAGGUAAGCGGAAUGCGUGGUGUAGCGGUGAAAUGCGUAGAUAUUAGGAGGAACACCAGUGGCGAAGGCGGCUUACUGGACUGUAACUGACGUUGAGGCUCGAAAGCGUGGGGAGCAAACAGGAUUAGAUACCCCAGUAGUC
rnacentral:rRNA from 1 species